CUGCUGGGGAGGAGACCCGGUUAACUGCUGCUGGGUGUGGGCCCGGUGCUGGAGCUCCAGAGACACGGACUGCUGCUGUUGUUGCUGCUGCUGCUGCUGUUCCAGCUUGAGGAUAUCCUUGACAGAAAACGGCGUGGAGGAAGACUUGAGGGUGCUGAGUUGACUCUUCUGGAGGCCGCUCCCAUCGCUGGCUCCUCACAAGGACAUGAAGCUGAGGAGCUCAGCCUGUUCAGAAGAUGGAGAGAAAGUUCCCACUCACACGACCUCUGACAGCCCUGAUGAAUUAACAAUAAGGGCAGAAAGAUUCCCUGCAACUUGUUAACCACAAGCUGCCAUAUGCGCACAUAAUCUGCUAAUUUAUUUUUUCAAUUAUUGUC